rnacentral:miRNA from 13 species
GUUGUGUCAGUGUAUCAGACAC